CACAAACACACACAGCACACUCACACACACACACACAGCACACCCACACAGCCACACAGCACCCCCCACACACAUACACACAGCACCCACACACACAUCAUAUUCACAUAGUCACACAGCACUCACAGCACCCUCAUACAGCCACACAGCACCCACACACCCAGCACACUCACAUACACACAGCACACACACACAGCACCCCCCACACACAUGCACACACACACAUAC